CGUAGGGUGCAAGCGUUAAUCGGAAUUACUGGGCGUAAAGCGUACGCAGGCGGCUUUGCAAGACAGGUGUGAAAUCCCCGGGCCUAACCUGGGAACUGCAUUUGUGACUGCAUGGCUAGAGUUUGUCAGAGGGGGUGGAAUUCCACGUGUAGCAGUGAAAUGCGUAGAUAUGUGGAGGAACACCGAUGGCGAAGGCAGCCCCCUGGGAUGUGACUGACGCUCAUGUACGAAAGCGUGGGGAGCAAACAGGAUUAGAUACCCUGGUAGUCCACGCCCUAAACGAUGUCGACUAGUUGUCGGAGGGUAACUCCUUCGGUAACGCAGCUAACGCGUGAAGUCGACCGCCUGGGGAGUACGGUCGCAAGAUUA
rnacentral:rRNA from 1 species